CCACAGUGCAUCAGUUUUAAAGGUUUAAACUGGUCUGAGCCAGACUUAGACAGACUUAUCCACGCAUUUAUCUGGACCAGGUUAGACUAUUGGACCGGCCUUCUGACUGGACUGUAAACCAGCUGAAGACAGCUGUAGUCCAUCCAGAACACUGCUGCUGGGGUCCAGACUAGAACCAGGAAGGACCACCAUAUUAGUCCUGUUCCAGGUCUGUGCACUGGGGUCCAGACUAGAACCAGGAAGGACCACCAUAUUAGUCCUGU